GCGGACUGGUGAGGAACACGUGGGUAAUCUACCCUUAAGAUGGGGAUAGCUGCUAGAAAUAGCAGAUAAUACCGAAUACACUCAAUAUUUCAUAAGAAGUAUUGAGGAAAGGAAGCUACGGCUUCGCUUGAGGAUGAGCUUGCGUCCCAUUAGCUAGUUGGUGAGGUAAAGGCCCACCAAGGCGACGAUGGGUAUCCGGCCUGAGAGGGUGAACGGACACAUUGGGACUGAGAUACGGCCCAAACUCC
rnacentral:rRNA from 1 species